UACAGAGGGGGCAAGCGUUGUUCGGAAUUACUGGGCGUAAAGGGCGCGUAGGCGCCUUCUAAGUCGAACGUGAAAUCCCCGGGCUCAACCCGGGAACUGCGUCCGAUACUGGAAGGCUUGAAUCCGGGAGAGGGAUGCGGAAUUCCAGGUGUAGCGGUGAAAUGCGUAGAUAUCUGGAGGAACACCGGUGGCGAAGGCGGCAUCCUGGACCGGCAUUGACGCUGAGGCGCGAAAGCCAGGGGAGCAA
rnacentral:rRNA from 1 species